CGGGUACAACGAGUCGCAAACUCGCGAGAGUAAGCUAAUCUCUUAAAGCCGUUCUCAGUUCGGAUUGUAGGCUGAAACUCGCCUAUAUGAAGUCGGAAUUGCUAGUAAUCGCGGAUCAGCAUGCCGCGGUGAAUACGUUCCCGGGCCUUGUACACACCGCCCGUCACACCAUGAGAGUCGAUAACACCCGAAGCCUGUAGUCUAACCUUAGGGGGGACGCAGUCGAAGGUGGGAUUGAUAAUUAGGGUGAAGUCGUAACAAGGUAAC
rnacentral:rRNA from 1 species